rnacentral:tRNA from 1 species
CAAGGUAUAGCUCAAGUGGUAGAGUGCAUGCUUAGUAUGCACAAGGGCCUGGGUUCAAUUCCUAGUACCUCCU